UGAUAUUAAAAAAGAAAAAAAUAUAUUUAUUUUAAAUAUGAAUUACAUAGGAAACUACAUAGAAAUGCAGCAAAUGAGAAAUUCUGAAUUUCAACUUGUGUUUGUAAAUGGGAUGCUGGAGAAGAGAGCAACAAGUUUAAAUGCAAAAGCUUUAGAAGCACUUUGGUUUUGACACCUAAAAUAAUCUCCCAAGAAUGAGCAAGGAAGAGGCAAAGAGGUGAUCUGUCUAAUGUAUUAUUAUUACCUUUGGAAUAAUACCAGCCUGUCUAUUUUCUCCCAUUUGUACACGCAAUCUGACCCAAAGCCAGUCGUGGCCUCUCUUUCCCCCCAGUUUCCUGUCUGCUACACUAAGAACUGGGUGAGAGUGCAGUGAAAACAAGAUCUUCCUUGAGGGCUGACUUUCAGAGCACAGGUGACCAUGACCAUCAGUGUCCUGAUGUAAUGAAUAGGGCUUUGUGAGAGAAGGGACCAGCAACCACCUCCAGUUUUCCCACACACAUUCCUAGUGUUCUACCCUUGAACUUUGUCUUCUGCAGUAGGAAGGCUUCCAAGUAGAAGACUUCCAAGAAUGACAUUUUCAUGGCUAGUGCCACCGUGGGAGGAUGAUAUCUGAAGUUCUUUUAGUCUGGAAUAGGAAAAAAAGUGAAAAGGGAAAAAAAAAUCUGUGAGUCGUUGAGCCUAUUAGGUACCACUGAACUGAAAUCAGCUUUGUUGCAAUAAAAAUAAACAAAGUUCUCCAAAGCGAGCUUCUUAAUGCUGGUAGUGCUGGAUAUUCUUCUGUCUGCACAGCACAAUUUGUGGGACACGACGAUUUCUCUCAAAUUACUCUGUGGAGUCUCUUUGGAUGCUUAGAAGAAUGGGUCUCCUAGCUCUGGUGGAGUAGCAGGGUUAUUAAAACAUGGUGAGCUGUACUGAUUUCUGCAAUUAAUCAUGACUGAUUUAUCACUUGAUUGUAGAAAUGCAGCCUAAAUAGAUUUUUUCCAUCUCCCUUGCUCCCUAAUUGAUUUUUUUUUUUUUUUUGGAACACUGAAGCUUUGACUUCCUCUCAUAAAAUAGAUUAGAGUCAUUAAGACUGUGAGCUGUAUAAUCAUUCUGCUGCAUAAUUACUGUUACUACUGUUGUCUUCUGGUUUACAGUGUUUCUUUAUUAGCAGCUCCUAUUGCCAGAAGGUUUAAGCAUUUAAUAAUCUGUCAAGGUGGUCUUUUGCUUGUUUUUUUUUUUUUUUUUUCUUUUUAACUUGAAGACCUUUUUGGCAAUAUCUUUAAACACCUGGCCAGGUCAGGUACUUUAAUACUCACUUAUCUCUGUCUAGUUGGCCUCACAUUGCUUUUUUAAUUAGUCGUCUUCUGGAUAGCCAGUUACUCAUUCAUCAUAUAUGAAAUGUAAGCAAGUCACAUGCAACAAUAACAAGCAGUUGGAAAUCAGAGCUUCCAGACAUGUUAUUGAGAUUGAUGGCCAUAGAGGGCACAUCAAGCAAGCUUUUAUCAGUUAGCAUAAGCAAAAGAGCCUGACCUAGCAUUCAUAGUAAAUGCAGGCUGCAGUGGUUUCCACAACACAGAGGAUUUAUACUUCCUGAGGAGUCCUGCUAGGCCUUGUCUCAGUGCUGAUGUGUCCAUCGGACUCUGGCCAUCCCAGAAGGGUGGGGAUGCUGAUUUAUGGUGUUUUGCUGCAGUGGUGGACAUUGGUCUGCUCUGGGGUCCAAGCUGCAAGGUGCAGCAGUGCCCAACAUGAGAGGAGCACUGAGCCAGGCAGCCCUGUCUCCCACCAGGACAAGGCUCUGAACAUCCUGCCGAAGCGGCUACUAACGCAAAGCACCUGCUGCAGCCACAGGUGCGGGUUAGCUCUUAGCCUGCAAGAGAAUCAGAGCCUGGAGAGCAUUGGGAAGCACUGGGAGAAAUGAGCAGUUCACACCAGAUUUUUGAAACUAGAGAUGUGGCUGUCCAUCAGCAGGUACAGGGUUGAGGCAGUGAGCAAGAGAUCAAUUCUCCCUGUCCUUGCGCAAGAGGACAAAACGUAAUGGAAUUCCCUAUGUUACAAGUGAGAAGAAAUUUCUCAGUGCUAGAAGAUAGGGAAGCCUUGGAACAGAUGGCCUGGGGAUCUGGUGGCAUUUCAGCUGCUGGCAAUCACUGCAGAGGGAGAGAGAGUCAAGUCUGUCAAAAAUGACAUAGAUAUAAUAGAGCCUCCCUCUUGGCAAGGCAGCGGGUCAGGUCGCCUCUUAAUUCUCUUUCCUGGCUGGCUCACUCUGUGUGUGCAACUGCAAACCAGAGGGAACAGAAAUGCUGUGAUUUGCAUGGACUGGUCCUCCCAGAAGCUGAAAACAAAAAUGCAGAGCAGUUUUUGAUGGACACAAAAAGAAUGAAAUCCUAAUGAGGGUAGUGAAGAAUUAUAACUGCAAAGAAUGAAGAGACAAAGAUUAAAAGUGGAAAAGAAUAUACAUAUUUUUAAAUAAAAUCUUCUGGACUACUGACAUCUUUGUAAUUAUGUGUUGGGACAGUGUUUCCUAUUAUUUUAGAAUUUCUUCAGUCAUUUGGGGGUAAGCUUUUAUAUUAAUGGAAGUAACUGUCUGCAUUUCUUAUAGCACUUUGCAAAUGCCUUAGUUUAUCUUGCCAGAGGAAACUUGCAGAUAUUAAUUCUUGGGUUUUGUCUUGUCUAUAUGAUAAUCCAAGCAAGAUUUGAACAAUUUUAGUACAAUAGUCUUCUCUUAGGAAAGCUUUGAUUGCACUAAAACAUACUCUGAUGUGCUAAUCUCUUAACCUUCUGGAGUUCAUUAUUUGGACAGAUAAAAAUUGAGUUUAAAGUGACCCAUAAGGUCUUCUUGCCAAGAUAUAAUCUAGUUAAAAUUUUCUCGAAUUGAAUUACGUGGACUGCAUACCAUGUAUUGAUUACAAAAUCUUCUUAAUGGAGUCGAAUAGUAAGACUCUUGACAUGAUUUUUUUCCCUUUUGAUGGACUCAGUUUUUAACAGGCACUUCAGCAUUUUGUUUUUUAGUGCUGUCACCAGCUUGAUAGCUUCUCAGUCAUAUAAAGCUUUGACCUCUCUGCCACUUUAUUGAUUGAAGAAAAACAACUGCAAAGUUAACUAGUCCUGUGCCAUUUAUGAAUAUGUUUUUUUUAUUACAUCACUAUGAAGAAGCUGAGGGCUACUUUGAAUAAUGCCCUGAAGGACUGGUGCUGUGGCCUUGAUUUAAGGAUGUAUCCUUUAUGGUUUUGAAAUAGAAGUUUUAAAUGUUGUUUUCAAAUUUCCUUUUUACCAUGAUAUAUAAUUCUUUAUCUGGUUCUAUCUUUCAGACAAGAGCAAAGCCAAACAAGGGAGCAGGUAAGCGCGUAGAGGAGAUAUCUUCAGCUGUUACCCAUCAUUUCUGGAUGUGGGUGAGGAGUUAGGCAAGUUAAAGUCAAGAAUUAUUCUCAGGUGUUGGAUAAAGAGAAGAGUCCCAACUCUAUUAAUGUCUUCUCUGGUCCCAUCUAUGGCUUUACUUUGCAAAACUCUUUCUGUUCUGGAUUUGGGACCCCAACAACUGCAGGCUCCUGUAGGCCUUCUCAUCCCUGCGCUGUUCAGUGACCUACACUGAAGACAGCAGGAAGAUGGUGAUGCCCCUACAAUUAAUUGCCAGAAUAUGUGGAAAAAGAAGCAAAGAUGAUGUGGAGUCUGAAGGUCACUGCAGGGAGGAUGUGCUGAGUCUUACUGUGAACAUUAAAGGAAAAUCUAAACCUGCUCAGGAAUUAUGGGCUCUUGAACUCUGACUGACCUCCUCCAGUAGAUUUGCUUUUAGAGAAUAUUGUUUGAUUAGUGAUAUUAGGUUCUGAAUGCUCUGUAGCUCAUCUGAGUGGAUUGACAAGUAAGGGAAUAGAUUGCUCUGUGAAAAAUAAUAAUAGUAAUAAUCCAAAGAUGAUUUUCUAAGUGUUGAAAAUCCCAUGCAAAAACCUUUUCUCAUAGGCAGAUCCUAUUCACUUAAGUGAAACAAUAACUUGGUUUCAGAGGAAAAAAAAAGUAUAUGAAAACAAUUGUCCCUUUUUCAAGAUAGUCUUGCAGCAAGCCUGAGGUUAACAGUAUGUGUUCGAUUCAUCGUAAUUACUAGAAAUGUUUCAUCCAUUCAGAAGCCUUGGCAAUACCCCCAGGACUGCUAAGCUUUAAUAUAAGCUGUUUUUCUCUUUUAUCUCUGUUUUUUCUCUCACAUGAUUUCCCCUUUUCUUUACUCUAGGUGUCGAGCUUUUGUUGAUUUUUUUCACUUGGAAAGGGUGUAUAUUUUGAAGUAAUGACUGGUCAAAGAGGAGUAUCAGUGCAUUUCAAGGAGCAAAGUGUGAGAGAUUUUCAGCUUGAUCUCAGAAAAUUGAUGUAGUCCACAUUGCAUACUGCACUGCACCUCCAGUUUGGACAGGAGAGGAGCUGUGUUAGCAAAUGCUCAACCAAAUGUAAAAACAUUGCUAAAGUAAUGGACUCCAACAAAGAUCCAAUUUCACUUUAGGGGAGAAAAUUGAUCUUCAGAAAAGCGAUUGGAGCUGCAGGUUUCCUGCUGUGGGAGAACCCAGGCUACCUGGGAUGUGUUCAGGAAGUGCUGCAAUAGGGACGUGAAAGAGACCUUGUGUUCAUCUGGCCAGACUCCUCAUCUGAAUGCAGCCGGUGGGCUCUGCACUUGUAAAAUAUUACUACUUUCCUUAGCAGGCAGUAUGAGUGCAGUUUAGCUACUUACCCAUAUGGGACAAAGGUUGCAAAAAUUCAACAUGUCAUCAAGGCAAAAGCCUAACAUGAGCUGCAUAGUGAGAAAGGUGUUUCCCAAGCCAAGCAUUGUGCGGUACGUGGACCAAGGAAAACCUGACAGCAGCCUGGAGAAAUGUCUAUUGAACAAAAAGACUCACAAGACAGUGAAGGUUUCUAUUGUCAGAUCUGUGCUUGAUGUUACAAGGGACCCACCAGGCACAUAUGAUGUUGUCGUAUGUCUGUUUUCCUUCCUUGGGAAUGAAAUAUGGAGUAUUUCAUCAGAAGAAAUAUUGGUUUCCUUUGGUGAGUUUUUCAUAGAUAAGACACAUCUGAAAUGUUAAGAACAUUAAACACAUGUAUGCUUUGUUAUUUAAAAUACAGAAUAAAUGGUAACUGUAUGGGAGUAUUGUACACGUCACACAGCUUGAACUUUCUUUCUGGCAGAUUUCUUAGCUCAAGCCUCUAAGUGAGUCAAGAAGGCUGCCAAAAACACCUGAGUAAACUCAACUAGUUAAGAAGAAACUUCUACACAAAAAAAAGAUGCUUGCUAUUGUUAGGCAGUAUCUUGCUGCCAUUCCCAUAAUCAGAAGUACCGUCAUUUAUCUACACAGUACUGGUGAGCUGUUCUAACUAUGCAUUUCUCAGUGAGUAAUCUGCAGCGUGGCUGGCAAAAAGCGCAGACUGACUUCCUUUAGCACCCUCUUGUGUAUGCCUCAUAUUCAGGUGUAGAUGCACAGUUAAACCUUUUUUUCUUUCCUUCUAAUGUAUACGCUCUUUGCACCUUAACAAUAUAAUUGAACUGCUGGACUCUGAGCAGCCUUUUUUUGGUACACCAGGUAAACUGGUAACUACUUGCACCUGUAUUCACUUUCAGAUGUGGAUAUACCUAUCGGUAUGUUUUUCAGCAAAGACUGUAUUGAAAACCAAAGCUCAGUCCCCUUGAGAUAUUACUUCAGAGGGAUGGAAGAUAAAUGAUCAUUUUUCUCCAAAAUGACUCAUUUCACACAAUUUGCAGUUUAGUAGAAAUGUACUCAAAUGAGAGAGCCAUCAAUUAAAGAAGUCUACAUUCUUGCCUGUGGGCUAUACUAAGAUAGCUCCACUCUGUAUAAAAAUGUUAAUGUAUUUAGAUGUGACAGAAAGGAGGGAAAUUACAUUAAUUCUUGGCUGUGUUCUGUGAAGGUGCCAUACUAACGCACAGUGUGACACCAAACUAAACUUUCAGCCUUUUAUUAUUAUUUUUUUUUUAAACAAAGCCUCACUUCUUUUAAGAACUACUUUCAUUGUUUGUCCUCCCUCUCCCCCCCCCCCAAAGAAAAUAUAUCUAAUGAAGCCUUAACCCAAGCUUUUACCACGAUGGCUUCAGAAGGUAGAACAAGUUAGAAAACAAAAUAACUUGGGUUAUGUUAGGAGUGCAUCUAUAAUUUUUAAAGCUAUUAGAGAAAUGAUCUUGCAAAAGUAAGGUGUUCCUCUGUUUGCAUAGUAAGGUAUCCUUUUCUGCUGCUAUGACUUCAGAGCAAACACAGUGAAAAGAUAGUCUGGUGAUGUAAUCCAUCAUAACUAAACCCAAACAUAACUAAACCUUAACCUUGAGGAGUACUUUGUUAUUCCUGACACUUUAGCUGGCAUUUGAAUAUAGCUCUGUCAGCACUGAGCUGGUAAUUAAAAACAACGUCACUGUUAAUGGUUCAACAUUCUGCUUAAGGAAACAGCCAACAUCCUCAACUGUAUGGGAACUGAUGAAUCAUGGCCUGAACCUCUGACCACCUGAGGCGAGCACUGAGUCAGUUGCGUGAGCACAGGUGAAGGCAUUGUGGAUGGAGCCAUGCAGAUGCCGCCAUCAGGUCAUAUAUGCUAUUUCAAGCUGCAUGCUGAUAAGAUGCAUCUGUUUUUAUGGGUUAAAACUAGGUAGCUCACUGCUUCUCUUUAGGUGAGGUACAUACUGGAGGUUCCAGGGGCUUCAGACUCUUUAGUCCCAAAACUUUCCCUAGGGAUUGCAUAGCCCUGUUACUUCAGCUGCUUUUUGUUUCUUUCCAGACCACCUGGAUGGGUUUAUGCAUUGAAAGAUUACUUGGAAAUUAAGCGUGAUGCACUCUCUCUCACCUUUAAGCCCUUGAAUGAUCCUCUUUUAAAAAAAAAAAAGACGAAUAAAUACACCUUUCACUCUUAGUAAAGGUGUUUGCUUUGAUUUGUUAUAGACCUUAGAAAUUCAGUACUUCCAUCAGCUGUCAUGACUACCUCAGGUGAGGAAAAAUUUUAAAAGCCUUCCUUAUUACUCAUUCAAUAGAGGUAUGAUCACUGCUUGACCUGUACUUAAAUGCCGUGUACGCAGAGCCAGAGGCACACCAGUGAGAGGUCAGCAUGCCCUGCACUGGCGGUACCUAUAGUGCUUUUGGAUGGGAAUUUGUGAGCUGUGAAAUCAUUUAGCAAGAGAGCUAACACAAAUCUUGCUAAAGCUCUGUCACACUAGGACAGCAUGUAAAAUGGCUUGCUGAAUAUCAAAUGUUAUUCUUAUACUUUUUAUAAAACAGAAUAGAAACCCUAUAAAUCUAUAAAUAAAUUUAUCCUAUUAUGAUGGAGAAGUGCCUGUGACAAGAAAGAAUUUUAAAUCCCACCCUUUUUUUUUCUUUGACCUGACAGUAGCAAGUCGUCCCCAUCCAUUAAUUAUGGGAUAAGUGCUGCUGCUUUACUAUAGGAAACAUAUGGAUAACUACACUAAACUAUUUUCUGCAGUUGAGAGGAAAAACCACAAGAGAGAUACACCCAGACCUACACAGCCAUGGUGUGUUCCCAGGCCCACUUUUGGAAAGGCCCUGACUAGGCUUAGGAGCACCACCAGCAUGUACAUAAUCCACCUCACAACUGUUAAACCGAGCUCUAUGCUUAAAAACAGAAAUCAGUAAUGCACAGCCAACCCACGUGAAAGGGUCUGCUUUAAUAACCUUCACUGUCACUGAUUGCCCUCUGAAUUUAUGGGAUGUGUUUUGAGCGUUUAACCUGCAACCCUGACAGUAGUCUCCUGCCACAAAGUCCUUGUUUACCCGGUGCCUGCUGCAAGCUCUUUGAUCUAUACACAUCUGAGGUUUUUUAUGAUUUAUUCAUAACAUUUUUGAAACACUCUACCAACUAAAAGGGAUACCAUUUAAUCUGUGUUUCUUUAGAGGACCGGGCUGCGUCUUCAGGCUCUCUAAAUUUCACCAGUUGAGCAAGCUUGGCUCCCUCUUCCAUGACACAGGGUAAUGAAUUAGGCUAAAAUGAUUUCCCUGUUGCUUCACUGUGAAUAAAAAUAUGAGAAUCUCUCAUUCUGGAGACAAACGGCACAUGCAAAAUGGCAGCAUGGGCAGCACGAGGAAGAGGCAAUGCAGUAUGACAGUGAUGAACGCUGCCUUCCCCUCCAUAGCAGCACAGUGGCCAUGCCAAGAGUGAAUAUAGUCUGCCGUGUCUGCAGCAGCCUUAUUCUCCAAACAAAAUGGAUUGCAACAGGCUGACUUUCAUGAGCCUGUGAGGUAUUGAGUGUCCUCCUUCACCCAUGCCAUUCAACCCUGUAAAAUUCACUUAAAGAAAUCUCUAUUAUGCUACAACAGUAUUUACCCAGACAUGGGCAAGCAAUGCAAUUGGCAGCGUGUGUCACAGUACUGGCAGAAGAAACUGAGCAAAAGACUUGAUUCUGACCCAGCAGAGUGCUGUUUGGGAGCUGAAUCCCUUCUUAUAAAGCCUUGGAGAAUGAAGAGGUUAUAUCUGUGUGCAUAUAUAUGUGUGUGUGUGUGUAUACGUG